rnacentral:sRNA from 1 species
AACAAGCCAAUCCCCAAGGAAAAGCUUGUUGCUUUUUUAUUAAGAAAUAUGCUUUACUACGACGACGAGGAUGAAUAUGACACUUCUAAUUCUGGUGGUGUCGUAGAUUUAGCAUUUUUAGCACUAAUAGUAGUUUUUCUAUUUACCGCUUUUAUUUCUUGGUUUGGGGCAUGAACUUGCUACAAAACAAGGCGUUUUUGAAAGGUAAUUAAUAAACCCAUUAAUGUAAUAGCAACAGCUUUCUUUAAUUUGGGGAACCUUACUUUUUCUUUGUAGCAUUAACUUUUCUACUAGGAAAUAUACAAGCAUUUACUCAUGCUAAUUACAAACAUCCUAAUAGUAGUAGCACAGAACUUCAGGGAAUAGCAAUUAAUAUUGCCUUAAUUGUUGGCAUCAUUAAUUUACCUUUAUUUAUAUUCUUCCGAAUAAUGCUGAAAAGUACUCAUAAUUUCUUAGACAAAAACAUUCCACUACGAAAGAAAUGAAUUGAAGAAAAGAUUGCUAGUGAUGAAUUGGAAGGAUGAGAAUACACCCAAAUUUAUCCUUUCCUAAGAAAGCUUUCUAGAAGAAAGCGUUACCAUUUUCUAAGAGCCUUAGAAAAUGGUGAUAAACCAACUUCUGUUUUAACAGAUAGAGAAAAUCAAUUGUCUGAAAAUCAAAUAAGUCAAGCACAUGCUUAGUAAA